UACCAGUCAGACUUAAAUUUUGGUUAUAAUAAAUUCAAGAAUUAUAAUUAAAAAGACACCAGCCACGAAGAAACCAGAGAGAGUUCUCUAGCCAGGAACCAACAAGCGUCUGGCUCAUUACAACAACGUCUGACUAGAACUCUGGCCCUGCACCAUGUGUCUCAGUGUGGAAGUGUGUCUGAUGCAGGUGAUGGGGGAGAUCACAGUCUCCUAACAGCCUGGAGUCAGUUGAGCAGACAGUGAACUUCUGACUGCAAUCAGAGACUGGGUGUUCUGGCCUCGUCAAGGAAGCACCAACUAUCAUGUGAUAUUCCCAACAGGGAAUGGAGGAGGAUUUUCCCAGCAAAAGGUCAUAAAGGAAGCUAGGAACUGAAUGAAGAUGAAUUACAUAAUAUCAAAAUACAGAGGCUACAGCUGAACUUGGCCUGGUGGAAACGCAUAGCUUUAAAUACCUGUACUAACAAUACCAGAGAGGGUACACUUGGUAAAGAGACACAAUUUUUUUGUGGGGGCGGUUGGUUUUGGUUUCUAAGAUUCGUUUAUUUACUAAGUUUUCAGUGUUCUGGUAUCUCUGCCUGCAAGCCGGAAAAGGGCACCAGACCUCAUUGCGUACAUGGUGGUUGUGAGCCACCGUGUGGUUGCUAGGAAUUGAACUCAGGUCCUCUGGAAGAGUAACCAGUGCUCUUAACCUCUGAACCAUCUCUCCAGUCCAGUCAUGAUGUUCUAAAAGGCCUCAAACCAACAAUCUAUUUCACCCCCAUAAAGAAACUCAAAACAAAAAGUAAACUCAGUUUCAGAGGAAGUGGGGAGAAAAAGAUCUAAACAGAUAGAAAGAUUGGCAAAAACUAGCCAAAGUUAGUUGGGGGGGGUGGACAAUCAAUAUAAUUUACAAAUCACUAGCUAAAGUCCAGCUAGACUGAGCUGAAGAAAGGCAUAUAUGACCAAAAUCAGAAAUGGAAGAGGGGGCAUCGCUGAGUCUGUAGAAAUAAAAGAAUUAUAAAGAUCCGUGGAAGACUUUGCCCCAACGCAUGAGCCAACAUAGCCGGAAGCGUGAAACCCUAGAACAUUAUCAAAUGAUGUCGUCUUAGUAGAAAUCUGAGGAGGCAGUACCAAGUAAAAACUGAAUAAAUACUUUUGAAUCUUCUCAAUGAAAAGUCCAGUAUAUGACAACAUUUCCACACUGUAUGUUCAAUAGUGCGAGAAAGGGGGCUGGGAUAAUGAUUCUAUAAGGAAAUGACAAACAUUUGAGAAACUAGAUAUGUUUAAGCAAAUUUAGGCACACUAUAACAUACAAUGAUAUACCACAUGGUGCCCUGUUAAUCUUUGCUUUUUUAUUAAUUAAAAGUGAAUUGUGAGCGUGA